rnacentral:rRNA from 1 species
GACGAACGCUGGCGGCGUGCUUAACACAUGCAAGUCGAACGGAAAGGCCUCUUUCGGGGGGUACUCGAGUGGCGAACGGGUGAGUAACACGUGAGUAACCUGCCCUUGACUUUGGGAUAACUUCAGGAAACUGGGGCUAAUACCGGAUAGGAGCUCCUGCUGCAUGGUGGGGGUUGGAAAGUUUCGGCGGUUGGGGAUGGACUCGCGGCUUAUCAGCUUGUUGGUGGGGUAGUGGCUUACCAAGGCUUUGACGGGUAGCCGGCCUGAGAGGGUGACCGGCCACAUUGGGACUGAGAUACGGCCCAGACUCCUACGGGAGGCAGCAGUGGGGAAUAUUGCACAAUGGGUGGAAGCCUGAUGCAGCAACGCCGUGUGCGGGAUGACGGCCUUCGGGUUGUAAACCGCUUUCGCUCAUGACGAAGCUUUGUGUGACGGUAGUGGGUAAAGAAGCACCGGCUAACUACGUA